rnacentral:rRNA from 1 species
AAACAUGUCUUUUUGAUAAUAAUUUAAAGUCUAAUCUGCCCACUGAUAAAAUAUUAAAGGGCUGCAGUAUAUUGACUGUACAAAGGUAGCAUAAUCAUUAGUCUUUUAAUUGAAGACUUGUAUGAAAGAUUUGAUGAAAUAUAAACUGUCUCUAAUUUAUAAUUAGAAAUUAAUUUUUUAGUUAAAAAGCUAAAAUAAAAUUAAAAGACGAGAAGACCCUAUAGAGUUUUAUAUUUUAUUUUUUUAAUAUUAAAAAUAUAAUUAAAUUAUAUUAAGUAAAUGAAAUAUUAUGUUGGGGUGAUAAAAAAAUUUAAUAAACUUUUUUUAAAAAAUUAACAUAGAUAAGUGAUUAAUUGAUCCAUUAAUAAUGAUUAAAAGAAAAAAUUACCUUAGGGAUAACAGCGUAAUAUUUUUUUUUAGUACAAAUAAAAAAGAAAGUUUGCGACCUCGAUGUUGGAUUAAGAUAAAAUUUAAAUGCAAAAGUUUAAAAUUUUGAUCUGUUCGAUCAUUAAAAUCUUACAUGAUCUGA